rnacentral:rRNA from 1 species
ACGCGUGAGAAUCUGGCUUCAGGUUCGGGACAACCACUGGAAACGGUGGCUAAUACCGAAUGUGCCGAGAGGUGAAAGGCUUGCUGCCUGAAGAUGAGCUCGCGUCUGAUUAGCUAGUAGGUGUGGUAAAGGCGCACCUAGGCGACGAUCAGUAGCUGGUCUGAGAGGAUGAUCAGCCACACUGGGACUGAGACACGGCCCAGACUCCUACGGGAGGCAGCAGUGGGGAAUUUUCCGCAAUGGGCGAAAGCCUGACGGAGCAAUACCGCGUGAGGGAGGAAGGCUCUUGGGUCGUAAACCUCUUUUCUCAGGGAAGAAAAAAAUGACGGUACCUGAGGAAUAAGCAUCGGCUAACUCCGUGCCAGCAGCCGCGGUAAUACGGAGGAUGCAAGCGUUAUCCGGAAUGAUUGGGCGUAAAGCGUCCGCAGGUGGCUGUGUAAGUCUGCUGUUAAAGAGUCAUGCUCAACAUGAUAAGAGCAGUGGAAACUACACGGCUAGAGUGCGUUCGGGGCAGAGGGAAUUCCUGGUGUAGCGGUGAAAUGCGUAGAGAUCAGGAAGAACACCGGUGGCGAAAGCGCUCUGCUAGGCCGCAACUGACACUGAGGGACGAAAGCUAGGGGAGCGAAUGGGAUUAGA